AAGGUAGGGCCUUAGCGAGGGAAAUGGCUGCCGCGUAAUGCCCGGUGAUGCGAGAAAGAAGGGCCUGCUGCCACCAGGACCCGUCAUCGCCCAGCCCAGGGACCGCUUCUGAAGGCCAUGCGAGCCCUGGCGGCGCAGACUUACCAGCCCACAGCUCCGGCCGCGGUGCCCAGCGCUGGAGAACGGAAACAUAAUUCAAGACAUUUCCUGAGUGCCUUCUGUGUGGGCCGAAUGCUGUAGCUGCUGGGAUAGAGUUUCACUCUAUCGCCCAGGCUGGAGUGCGAUCUCGGCUCUGCAACCUCCGCCUCCCGGGUUCAAGCAAUUCUCCUGCCUCAGCCUCCCGAGUAGCUGGGACUACAGGCGCACACCACCAUGCUUGGCUAAUUUUUGUAUUUUUUGGUGGAGUCGCAGUUUCACCAUGCUGCCCAAGCUGGUCUUGAACUCCUGACCUCAAGUGAUUCACCCACCUUGGCCUCCCAGAGUGCUGGGAUUACAGGCAUGAGCCACUGUGCCUGGCCCUUAUCUGAGGAAUUUAGAAGGGAGCAAAGACCACCUGGUAACCAUCCAACAGGCCAUCCAGAGGCAAAACUCCUUAUCUGGGGAAAUUAGAAGUAAUUAAACUUCCCUAGUAUCUAAAGUGGGCAUCUGGUUCCAGGCCUCUUUCAACUUUUAUAAGUAACUAAAAUUUCUAGGCAUCUCUGGAAUGUCAUGCUGAAACUAAUUUUACAACCCUAAGCUCCUGCCUGAAGGUCCAUAAAUGCACCUAAGGAAAAUCCACCAAGGCCCUCAGUCCUCUCGCUGGGGUGCCCCGCUGCACUCUUCUGCAGCGUUCUUUCUUUCUAAGAAAUUUUCCUUUUUCAAACCUA